CCUACGGGCGGCUGCAGUGGGGAAUAUUGGACAAUGGGGGGAACCCUGAUCCAGCCAUGCCGCGUGUGUGAAGAAGGCCCUCGGGUUGUAAAGCACUUUCAGUGAGGAAGAACGCCUGGUGGUUAAUACCCAUCAGGAAAGACAUCACUCACAGAAGAAGCACCGGCUAACUCCGUGCCAGCAGCCGCGGUAAUACGGAGGGUGCGAGCGUUAAUCGGAAUUACUGGGCGUAAAGCGCGCGUAGGUGGCUUGAUAAGCCGGUUGUGAAAGCCCCGGGCUCAACCUGGGAACGGCAUCCGGAACUGUCAAGCUAGAGUUCAGGAGAGGAAGGUAGAAUUCCCGGUGUAGCGGUGAAAUGCGUAGAGAUCGGGAGGAAUACCAGUGGCGAAGGCGGCCUUCUGGACUGACACUGACACUGAGGUGCGAAAGCGUGGGUAGCAAACAGGAUUAGAUACCCUGGUAGUC
rnacentral:rRNA from 1 species